UGCAUGACUUAAUCUUGUAGACACUUUUUACAUUGUUGUAUUGGUACUUUGACUUCACAAGGAGCCACCCCUGGUUGUACCUAAAUAUUUGUCACCACCUCUGAAAACAAAUCAUUAAAUAGCCCAGUAGAAAGAUUAAUUUUUAAUUAGUGACCAUUAUAAGCUUCGCAAAGGCCAUGCUAAGGUUAUUUACCACAUGUCGUUAUUUAUUGCUCACGUGAUGCAUGUGUGAGUCUCGCAAUACCAAAAUACAGACUGUAAUGCUCUCAGGAAUAGGCCACCAACAGAUUAAUAAAUCACCAACUAUCAUGGAAAUGGUGAUAACAAACAAAAAGAAACAGGGAUGGAUAAACAGUCAUAAGAAACCAGACAAUCCUAUAAUAUGUCUGGUCGA